CGUAGGGUGCAAAGCGUUAAUCGGAAUUACUGGGCGUAAAGCGUGCGCAGGCGGUUUUGUAAGUCUGUCGUGAAAUCCCCGGGCUCAACCUGGGAAUGGCGAUGGAGACUGCAAGGCUAGAGUUUGGCAGAGGGGGGUAGAAUUCCACGUGUAGCAGUGAAAUGCGUAGAUAUGUGGAGGAACACCGAUGGCGAAGGCAGCCCCCCUGGGUCAAAACUGACGCUCAUGCACGAAAGCGUGGGGAGCAAACAGGAUUAGAUACCCUGGUAGUCCACGCCCUAAACGAUGUCUACUAGUUGUCGGGUCUUAAUUGACUUGGUAACGCAGCUAACGCGUGAAGUAGACCGCCUGGGGAGUACGGUCGCAAGAUUA
rnacentral:rRNA from 1 species